rnacentral:tRNA from 1 species
GCGUCCAUCGUCUAAUGGAUAGGACAAAGGUCUUCUAAACCUUUGGUAUAGGUUCGAGUCCUAUUGGACGUA